AAGAUUUUAAGUUAUUUAAACUGUGAAAUUUCAAAUUUCAAUAAAGGUGAUUUUCCUAAAUCUUG
rnacentral:tRNA from 1 species